UACGUAGGGUGCAAGCGUUAAUCGGAAUACUGGGCGUAAAGCGUGCGCAGGCGGCUUUGCAAGACAGAUGUGAAAUCCCCGGGCUCAACCUGGGAACCGCAUUUGUGACUGCAGGGCUAGAGUACGGUAGAGGGGGAUGGAAUUCCGCGUGUAGCAGUGAAAUGCGUAGAUAUGCGGAGGAACACCGAUGGCGAAGGCAAUCCCCUGGACCUGUACUGACGCUCAUGCACGAAAGCGUGGGGAGCAAACAGG
rnacentral:rRNA from 1 species